AGAGUUUGAUCCUGGCUCAGGAUGAACGCUGGCGGCGUGCCUAAUACAUGCAAGUCGAACGCGAGCACUUGUGCUCGAGUGGCGAACGGGUGAGUAAUACAUAAGUAACCUGCCCUAGACAGGGGGAUAACUAUUGGAAACGAUAGCUAAGACCGCAUAGGUACGGACACUGCAUGGUGACCGUAUUAAAAGUGCCUCAAAGCACUGGUAGAGGAUGGACUUAUGGCGCAUUAGCUGGUUGGCGGGGUAACGGCCCACCAAGGCGACGAUGCGUAGCCGACCUGAGAGGGUGACCGGCCACACUGGGACUGAGACACGGCCCAGACUCCUACGGGAGGCAGCAGUAGGGAAUUUUCGGCAAUGGGGGAAACCCUGACCGAGCAACGCCGCGUGAAGGAAGAAGGUUUUCGGAUUGUAAACUUCUGUUAUAAAGGAAGAACGGCGGCUACAGGAAAUGGUAGCCGAGUGACGGUACUUUAUUAGAAAGCCACGGCUAACUACGUGCCAGCAGCCGCGGUAAUACGUAGGUGGCAAGCGUUAUCCGGAAUUAUUGGGCGUAAAGAGGGAGCAGGCGGCAGCAAGGGUCUGUGGUGAAAGCCUGAAGCUUAACUUCAGUAAGCCAUAGAAACCAGGCAGCUAGAGUGCAGGAGAGGAUCGUGGAAUUCCAUGUGUAGCGGUGAAAUGCGUAGAUAUAUGGAGGAACACCAGUGGCGAAGGCGACGAUCUGGCCUGCAACUGACGCUCAGUCCCGAAAGCGUGGGGAGCAAAUAGGAUUAGAUACCCUAGUAGUCCACGCCGUAAACGAUGAGUACUAAGUGUUGGAUGUCAAAGUUCAGUGCUGCAGUUAACGCAAUAAGUACUCCGCCUGAGUAGUACGUUCGCAAGAAUGAAACUCAAAGGAAUUGACGGG
rnacentral:rRNA from 1 species